rnacentral:lncRNA from 1 species
GAAGAGAGAGUCUGAGAGCUCCAGAAACACAACUUCAGGGAACUCAGCCGCUCUUUUAAAAUGAGGUCCAGAGAUCAGGAAGGCUCCAGGGAGGUGGAAGCAUCUCAACUGGUUUUGGGAAUCAGCGCAACCCAGCAGGACUUGCAAGGUGGAGAAGAGAUGUUCGAGUUCCUCCUACAGAAGACCUUGGAAGAGAUUCAUACACAAAAGAAAGAAAGCAAAAUAAUGCUUUAUGCUAUUAAGUUUUGCAUUCCAAAACCUCAAUUUUGUAAUAUGCAGCUUUAUAUGCCAAAUUUGAUGAAAAAAAGACAUGAGACAUGAAGAAAAAAGUAAAAUGGCGGACAUAAAUCCAAACCUAUGGAUAUUAACAUUAAAUAUUAAUGGAUUAAGCAACACAAAAGACACAGAUUAUCAGACAGGAUAAGAAAAACAAGAUCCAACUAUGUUACAGGAGAUACACUUUAGAUUCAAAGACAUAAAUGAGCUGAAAGUAAAAGGAUGGAAAAGAAAUAAUCAUGCAAACAACUGUAAGCACUGGAGUGGUCAUACUGACAUCAGACAAAAUAAGCUUUCAAACAGAAAUAGUUAUCAGAGAUAAGCAGGGACACUUUAUAAUAACAAAAAGGUAGUUCAUGAAGAAGAUAUAACAAUUAUAAACAUAUGUUUUUAACAGAGACCCCAAAAUACACGGGGCAGAACUGAUAUAAAUGAUGAGAAAAAUAGACCAAUAAAAAUAGUUGGCAACAUCAAUGUCACACUUGGAAUCAUGGAGAGAACAACUAGACAGGAGAUCAAAAGGGAAAUAGACAAUUUGAACAAUAAUCUAAAAUGCAAAACCUUCAUGAGUGAAAAGAUCUCCCCAUAAGUCCUUAAAAGAAAAAUAGCCUUUCGAGGGUUACACAGAGCACAGGUAAGAGGGAAAUGGGGGUUACAGGCCCACCUUGAAUACUGCUGAGCCAGGCACUCUCUGGGGAAUUUAUAGUCAUUUAUCAGAAGCUUCUGGGUCUUACGUUUCUCAUACAUAAAAUGAGGUAAAAAUGCAC